UGCCAUGUCUCAGGAAGGCCAUGAGGAGUUUGCUGCUGCUUCUCCCCAGCAGGAGCCUAUAGCUCAUCGUCGGACAGGAGGUCCAAGGAAGUUCCCUCCACUUGAAGCUGACGUCUGCCGGAGCGACUGGAGGAGAAGCUGAUGGGGCCGCCACGCCUGAAGGAGAAAGAGGAGUGGAGCUUCUUUUUAGCAGCUACAGCCAAACCUCUCUGCUUCCGCUCGUCCUCCAAUUCAGCCUCCAUCUCUCGCACCUGAGGGGGAGCCGGUACAAGUCGUUAGUGUGGUCUCUCUCAUACUGAGCCUUCAUGGCCUGCAUGUUGACCUCCAGACGCAGCUUGGCAUCUUCUGUGGCCUGCAGCUCGUCCUCCAGCUCCUCCAGCUGAGUCUUCAUCUCCUCCAGCUGCUGCUCCAGAGUACGCUUGGAC